AGUGAACGCUGGCGGUAGGCCUAACACAUGCAAGUCGAACGGCAGCACAGAGGAGCUUGCUCCUUGGGUGGCGAGUGGCGGACGGGUGAGGAAUACAUCGGAAUCUACUCUGUCGUGGGGGAUAACGUAGGGAAACUUACGCUAAUACCGCAUACGACCUACGGGUGAAAGCAGGGGAUCUUCGGACCUUGCGCGAUUGAAUGAGCCGAUGUCGGAUUAGCUAGUUGGCGGGGUAAAGGCCCACCAAGGCGACGAUCCGUAGCUGUUCUGAGAGGAUGAUCAGCUACACUGGAACUGAGACACGGUCCAGAGUCCUACGGGAGGCAGCAGUGGGGAAUAUUGGACAAUGGGCGCAAGCCUGAUCCAGCCAUACCGCGUGGGUGAAGAAGGCCUUCGGGUUGUAAAGCCCUUUUGUUGGGAAAGAAAUCCAUCUGGUUAAUACCCGGGUGGGAUGACGGUACCCAAAGAAUAAGCACCGGCUAACUUCGUGCCAGCCGCCGCCGUAA
rnacentral:rRNA from 1 species